GUCUUUAAGACAGCUUUGCUCUGCCAAAUUAACAAGAACCCAGAUUCCUUUUAUCUUGGUGUAUUUAUUUGUUUAUUAUCUUACUUUUGGCCAGGGCUGUGGCCUGCAGAAGUUCCUGUGUCAGGGAUCAAACCCACACCACAGCAGUGAUAAUGCCAGAUCUUUAACUCAUGAGGCCACCAGGGAACUCACUUUAUCUUUUUGGUUUGCCAUUCAACAGGCUAUCUCCCAUGCCUGGUGCAAGUUGCAGCCACAUUCUAAUCAGCAAGAUGGAGGAAAGAGGAUACAGGCUUGUAUAAGAAGAGAGACGGAAGAGGAUCAAAGAAGAUCAACGUGAGCCCUGAAAAGUCAGAGAUUCUGCCCAGAGCUGGAUGAGUUCUGACAGCAGCGGAGGGAGCAGCUAGAGGCAAGUGGAGAACCAAUAUUUUUGGCACGCUGAUGGUGACAUCACUGGCUUUGUCUCUGGGAUUGUUGCCCACUGAAUGAAUUGAUUCUUGCUUGUUUUCCUCUCCUAGAUUAGGGAGUUGUAUAUGAUAAAAGAGUGUUUUCUCCUGUGUUGGCUGAUAAUUGCAUGGCAAAGAUAACUUCUUCAUUGCACUUAUUACAGAGAGUUAAUAUAGCCAAUUUUACAAUAAAUAAUUACCGAUUGCAGUAUAUAAUUACCUACUGUAAUAUAUAAUUACAUAUUGGUAAAAUUUAUCUAAUUAAUAUCAUUUUCCCUUGAUAACACUGUUUUUUAAAAAACCUAUUAAAAAACCACUCAAUAUAGGGGGGAAAAGUGCUAAAUUGAAUUGCAUUUGGUUCCUAGCCCAGGAAAACCAGGAUGAAUGAGGCAGUGUUUUUCUCUGUUACAGAACAAAAUGAGCUUUCUAAGUUAGGGUUUGUUGAUUCUCAAGCUCUUAAUUUCAUGUGUUUUGAGUAGGCUGUGGCUGUGGUGAUUGCAUUAUUAAAGUUUUUUAUUGCGAAGUAUCAUACACUAAUGGAAAAAUGCACAAAACAGAAAUAAAUAAUCAAAAAGUAAACACUCAUCUGUCCAUCCAGGACAGGAAAUGAAACACUACAACCCUGAAGCCUCACUCAUACCCCUUCCCAACCACCACUCUGUCUCCCCGCAAAGGGUAAACACUGUCUUGACUUAACAGUGUAGCCUGGUUUCACCUAUUUUGGACUUUCUUUGAGUAGAAUCAUACAUUUGCUUAAGAUACAUGUCUUUAGAAGCAAAAAUUUGGUACUUAUAUAUACCACUGGGUCAGUGAGAUGAGAUAUUUGAAAUGGGGGGACUGCCUCAAAACCCACAGCCCAAUGGUCCAUGAAAGUUCAUUCUAGGUUCAUGCUUAUUCUCCAGAAGAAAGAACAAGGUUGAUGGGCCAGUUCCAGAGACCCAGAAGCUCUUCCUGGAAACCAGCAACUUCACAGCAAAUACAGUAUCUAAGUUAUCUUUGGGAAGAAUCAAGGAAGAUUUUAUAACCAAUUAGGCACUGACAGAUGGGAUUUAGUGAAGAAGAAGGAGGAGGAAGAGAAAAAGGAAGAGGAGGAAGAGAGGGGAAGAAAGAAGGAGAAAGAUUGAAGGUAGAGAGAGGGAAGGUUUUGGCUUCUUUCUUAAUCAUUUUAGGAGUGGUCAUUGGAUAGAAGCAUCCAUAGUAAACCUGAUUUGCUUACAGAUCAAUAACUACUUGAACCAAGAAAGAGAGAAUAAAAAUUUAAAAAUAAAGAGUUAGAGUUAACAUCAGUCAGCUUUUAGGGAGUUUUGCUAUGUAACAACAAACUUCCAAAUAUCAAGAGCUUAAUAAAGUCUUUUUCCUUAUUUAUCUUACUUCCACUGUAGUAGGCUGCAAAUCUUUUCCUUGUGUCUUUUUCUUCUGCAGAACAAGCUUAAAGAGCCAUUCUGAUCUGGGACAUCUAUUCUUGAGGCAGAAGGAAGUGAAAACGAGGUGGCAGAGCCACUCAGUAGCUAUUGAAACUUUUGAUUGGGCCUGCCGUGUGUCAUUUCUGUUUAGAUUUCCUUAACAAAGCCAUGUCACUUGGCCACAUUGACACUUGUCUUUUCUGGGAAAGCAAAUAAUAGGGAAAAAUGAUGACUGUUUAUAAGGGUCAUUUUCUAAUCAAGAUCAACCAGAAAUUAUCAUAUGAAAAUCAGAGGGCAGGAGAGGAAAUUCCUCCAAAUUCAGUGAACCUCAGCCAGAAUCUAUCCUUUUUAGUGGAUUAUUUGUGUAAGAAAAUUCACUAGACAAACAUUCCUGUUAGAAGCCCAUACAGUCCCUGUAUGAACAGUGACUUCUGUGGGAAAUAUCUUUUACUCGAUGCACUAGGUUUACAAUAAAUUCUUUGUUUUCUUGGAAAACCUGAAGAAUUCUAAGGGUAUAAUUCAGAUGAAAAGAAGAGCUAUAGCCUAAUCCCUGCUUUGCACCCAGGAGCCUCUGCGUACAGGCUGGAUUUUCAGUGUCUCUUCUGUUCUAUAAUCUGCCUUUUGAUGGACUUCUCUGUGAGGAUAUAAACGAUCCAUCUUAAAGCAAAAGUCGACUGUGAUGUAUUUUCAGAAAUUUCAUGAUAUCCUAUCUUUGCUGACAACAUGAAUCCUAUCUUCAUACUGAACAGACAAAAUCAUUCCCUGUGUCUUCAGAUUUUUGCAAGGACGUAGGGGCAUAAGCUUUCUUAAUUCCAGCAACACUUUUUUAGUCUUGUAGAAAUUGUUUUCUUGAAACUCUGUUUCUCUUUGAAAUCAGCAUUUUUUGCCUACUUUUCAGUGACUCAGCCUGAUGGAUUAUCUGCCUUACAAGUUGAGUCAGGAGACUUUGGGGAGAUUAUAGCAGAAACUGGAUUUCAGAUUUCAGAAAAGCAAGUCUGACACCUUCUGGAAAGCCUGUAACUGUUGCACUUACAAGUAGUUCCUUUGUCAGGGAUAGUAAGAUGGGUCCUAGGAACCUCACUUAGAAGAGGGGUUUCCGGAGUUCCCGUCGUGGAGCAGCGGAUAUGAAUCCGACUAGGAACCAUGAGGUUGCGGGUACUAUCCCUGGCCUCAUUCAGUGGGUUAAGGAUCUGGCGUUGCUGUGAGCUGUGGUGUAGGUCACAGACACAGCUCAGAUCUGGAGCUGCUGUGGCAUAAGCCAGCAGCUGUUGCUCCGAUUAGACCCCUAGCCUGGGAACCUCCAUGUGCCAUGUGUGUGUCCUAAAAAGCAACAACAACAAAAAAAAGAGGGGUUCCUGACCUGAGUGGGAUUCAGGGCUACAUGAAAUUAGAUGGGCCAAACCUUGCAUCUCUAUUUCCAUAAAUUUCUUUUGAAAUUAACACUUAAAGAGGAGUUCCCUGGUGGUUCAGUGGGCUAAGUUGUCACUGCUGUGGGGCUAGAUACUGCUGUAGCAUGGGUUCAAUCCCUGACUUUGGAACUUCCAUGUGCCAUGGGCAUGGCCAAAAAAAAAAAAAAA
rnacentral:lncRNA from 1 species